rnacentral:lncRNA from 1 species
CAGCUCUAUAAAAUUUCCCCUUGAGUUUCUGUGGAACUUUCUUGUCACACAGGACUCCUGAUGCAAGCCUCCACUUUGACCACCCCGCCCCUAUACGAUGAGUGACGUCCCCGUCAAUCUCUCCGUCCCCCUGAAUCACCGACCUUAGAUAUCUGACAAUGUCCCUCUUGGCGAUGACCUGAGAUCCUAUCAUCACGUCCCUUCCUAUUUCGCUCAGCUCGGAGCUAAACUUGCACCAGGUAUUCUGUCUUAGAUCUGCUUAUUUUGAAGCACUUAGAUUCGAGAGUCUGUCUCCAUACCUCUAUCCUCUCAAUAAUACCAACCCUCGUCUUGUCAAUCAAGACUAUGUCAUCAGCAAAUAGCAUACACCAAGGCACAUCCCCUUGAAUAUGUCG